UACGAAGGGGACUAGCGUUGUUCGGAUUUACUGGGCGUAAAGCGCGCGUAGGCGGAUCGCUAAGUCAGGGGUGAAAUCCCAGGGCUCAACCCUGGAACUGCCUUUGAUACUGACGAUCUGGAGAUCGGGAGAGGUUGGUGGAAUUCCGAGUGUAGAGGUGAAAUUCGUAGAUAUUCGGAGGAACACCAGUGGCGAAGGCGGCUCACUGGCCCGAUACUGACGCUGAGGCACGAAAGCGUGGGGAGCAAACAGG
rnacentral:rRNA from 1 species